CUGAAUCGGCUUCACGAUUGUCCAGAAACUUUUCGCUUAAUGCAAGAAAUAUUUUUAAAUGCCCAACGCGAGGUUGACCAAUGGAUAGGCAGCGCAGUAUUUCAUUUGGGCGACCACAAUGUUCCGAAUGCAUUAACUUUUAUUUCGAAGGCUUUUUUAUUCUAUUAAUAUUAUGAAAAUUUCCAAUAUUUAAUUAAAUAUAGUACACGCAAAUAUCGCAAAUUCUCACGCCGAUAUGCUCCUGUUUGCAAAACAUAAAAGGAAUUAGCGAAAACAAAUAUAUCGCUGAAUAUAUCAAAGAUGAAUUUGGUGGAAUUGAAUUGUUAACCAAAACAAUUCUUAAAGAUUUUUUCUGUCGAGCAUUUGAUGGAAGUGGCGCUGAUAAUUUUUAUGACGCUGGCUCCUGUAUAGAUGGUCGCUUGACUUCUGCUUGGAACUGGUGUUCCCAACUGAAAUCCAAACCUUUUUACUAUAUUUUUCUUCUUACGGGGUUUAUUGGCUUC